rnacentral:lncRNA from 1 species
GAAAGAAAGAGUCUGCCAGGCCUCUUUGUUAGGUUCUUCUGAGGACUCGUGUUCUUUUACAGAUGGAACUAGCUUAAGUGACAGCCCGCAAGUGAGGACACUAGCAGAAUGGCUUGGAUGGUGAAAGCCAGCGAAAGGAAAGGCAGGCUUCCCCCACCCCCCACCCGGGCAGGUGCUUGUGCUUAUCUGUGAAUAGGCAACAGGGAAAUGGCAGAGGGUUAGGCAAAGGGAGCAGACAGCAGGGACAGAGCGUCCCUCCCGCCCUGUCUGGAGAAAUCAGCAGAUUGCACACCUGCUACUGCACAGGCUGCCGCUGCCAAGCCCUACAGCACAGCUGCAAGACACUGGGCUUCUGGCCGGCCACUCUGAGCUUUGCCUGUCUUCAGGGAUGGAGCCCCUCCCAAGGCAAGUUCAACUGGGUUCUCUGGCAGCCGAAGUCUACAUGGCCCCUGCAGGGAGUGGUGGAGAAAAGUUUAUUCAUUUUGAUGAGAGAGCUCGCUCAGAGAAAUAGUCAAUAAAGCAGUGUAUUGCAAACGAAGCCACAAAUCUGACAAGAAAGGUACUUAAGGUAAGGAAAAAGAUGGGGUUGCCUUUUUACGAUGUGUUAGAAAAAGUCAUCCUGGAAAAAUCUGGCUGUGGAGGCCAACCAUUAUUCACUCUGGGGGAAUGCAUCAUGUAAAAGAUCUCCUGGUUUUAGGAACUCUUACAAUGACCUAUGUUGUCCUGGGUGCUUGACUCAGGAUCGUGGACCAAGUUUCAAUCUAAGAAAGAAUGUUGACUUAAUGCACCACCUUUCCCUGGGCCAAGUUCCCUUCUUUGUAAUCUCCCAAGUGUUAUAUUUAAUUUACAUUUGCAGUAGAAAAUAUGUGAACAUGGGAUCCAGCCCACGGAUUAAUUAUUUGGGCUUUCUAAAUUCAGAAUUUGCUUACUGAAGCAGAAGUUUCUGAAUUUUAUCUCUUUACUGAAAUCUCCACAAAUCGAAGUUCCUUUUAGACUUGCAGGAUUCAGGAGUCCGAUAACCUGAAAAUGACCAUCCAAUAAAAUUAUUGUACCUUUCCUCGGUGUUUCUGUU